rnacentral:rRNA from 1 species
AGGAAUAUUGGUCAAUGGGCGAGAGCCUGAACCAGCCAAGUAGCGUGAAGGAUGACUGCCCUAUGGGUUGUAAACUUCUUUUAUAAGGGAAUAAAGUCACCCACGUGUGGGUGUUUGUAUGUACCUUAUGAAUAAGCAUCGGCUAACUCCGUGCCAGCAGCCGCGGUAAUACGGAGGAUGCGAGCGUUAUCCGGAUUUAUUGGGUUUAAAGGGAGCGUAGACGGGCCGUUAAGUCAGCUGUGAAAGUUUGAGGCUCAACCUUAAAAUUGCAGUUGAUACUGGCGUCCUUGAGUACGGUUGAGGCAGGCGGAAUUCGUGGUGUAGCGGUGAAAUGCUUAGAUAUCACGAAGAACCCCGAUUGCGAAGGCAGCCUGCUAAACCGCCACUGACGUUGAGGCUCGAAAGUGUGGGUAUCAAACAGGAUUAGAUACCCUGGUAGUCCACACGGUAAACGAUGAAUACUCGCUGUUUGCGAUAUACUGCAAGCGGCCAAGCGAAAGCGUUAAGUAUUCCACCUGGGGAGUACGCCGGCAACGGUGAAACUCAAAGGAAUUGACGGGGGCCCGCACAAGCGGAGGAACAUGUGGUUUAAUUCGAUGAUACGCGAGGAACCUUACCCGGGCUUGAAUUGCAGACGAAUUGCUUGGAAACAGGCAAGCCGCAAGGCGUCUGUGAAGGUGCUGCAUGGUUGUCGUCAGCUCGUGCCGUGAGGUGUCGGCUUAAGUGCCAUAACGAGCGCAACCCUCGUGUCCAGUUACUAGCAGGUUAUGCUGAGGACUCUGGACAGACUGCCAUCGUAAGAUGUGAGGAAGGUGGGGAUGACGUCAAAUCAGCACGGCCCUUACGUCCGGGGCUACACACGUGUUACAAUGGGGGGUACAGCAGGCAGCUACCGGGCGACCGGAUGCCAAUCCCGAAAGCCUCUCUCAGUUCGGACUGGAGUCUGCAACCCGACUCCACGAAGCUGGAUUCGCUAGUAAUCGCGCAUCAGCCACGGCGCGGUGAAUACGUUCCCG